rnacentral:rRNA from 1 species
AUUGAACGCUGGCGGCAUGCCUUACACAUGCAAGUCGAACGGUAACAGGUCUUCGGAUGCUGACGAGUGGCGAACGGGUGAGUAAUACAUCGGAACGUGCCUAGUAGUGGGGGAUAACUACUCGAAAGAGUGGCUAAUACCGCAUGAGAUCUACGGAUGAAAGCAGGGGAUCGCAAGACCUUGUGCUACUAGAGCGGCCGAUGGCAGAUUAGGUAGUUGGUGGGAUAAAAGCUUACCAAGCCGACGAUCUGUAGCUGGUCUGAGAGGACGAUCAGCCACACUGGGACGGAGACACGGCCCAGACUCCUACGGGAGACAGCAGUGGGGAAUUUUGGACAAUGGGCGCAAGCCUGAUCCAGCAACGCGUGCAGGAUGAAGGCCUUCGGGUUGUAAACUGCUUUUGUACGGAACGAAAAGCCCCGGGUUAAUACCCUGGGGUCAUGACGGUACCGUAAGAAUAAGCACCGGCUAACUACGUGCCAGCAGCCGCCGUAA